rnacentral:rRNA from 1 species
UGGUGGAGUGAUUUGUCUGGUUAAUUCCGUUAACGAACGAGACCCCCGCCUGCUAAAUAGACUGGUGAAUGAUUCUUCAUUAACCUGGUCUUCUUAGAGGGACUUUUGGUGACUAACCGAAGGAAGUUGGGGGCAAUAACA